CCUACGGGGGGCAGCAGUGAGGAAUAUUGGUCAAUGGACGAGAGUCUGAACCAGCCAAGUAGCGUGAAGGAUGACUGCCCUAUGGGUUGUAAACUUCUUUUAUAUGGGAAUAAAAUGUUCCACGUGUGGGAUUUUGUAUGUACCAUAUGAAUAAGGAUCGGCUAACUCCGUGCCAGCAGCCGCGGUAAUACGGAGGAUCCGAGCGUUAUCCGGAUUUAUUGGGUUUAAGGGGAGCGUAGGUGGAUUGUUAAGUCAGUUGUGAAAGUUUGCGGCUCAACCGGAAAAUUGCAGUUGAAACUGGCAGUCUUGAGUACAGUAGAGGUGGGCGGAAUUCGUGGUGUAGCGGUGAAAUGCUUAGAUAUCACGAAGAACUCCGAUUGCGAAGGCAGUUCACUGGACUGCAACUGACACUGAGGCUCGAAAGUGUGGGUAUCAAACAGGAUUAGAUACCCUGGUAGUC
rnacentral:rRNA from 1 species